rnacentral:ncRNA from 1 species
GCCGUGCUGGUGCCCGGGCGUUCGCCUGGGCCGAAGAGGGAACCCGGUGAAACUCCGGGGCUGCCCCGCAGCGGUAAGCGAGAACGACCUCCACCCCAUGCACUGGCCCGCCGAGGGCUGGGAAGCGGUGGACAGUAGGAAUCCGGUCAGACCGGAGCGCUCGCGAGCCCGAAGACCUGCCAGCGCCCGGCGGCGGGA